GUGUUCUAUAUCUAACAAAUGAAGCAAAUGUUUCAGAUUAUACCUACAGUAGAAUAAGUAGUGGCAACAUUUGGGUUUUUGAUGAUUUUUGAUGAUAAGUUCACACAUUCCUUUUCAUCCUUGCAGCAGUAGUUAUGCAUGCAAGAUGGUUUCUUACAAUCUCAGUGGGAUCCUUCCAUGUAUGGACCCCAUGAGUAAGGUUUGGAGUGAAUCAGUCUGAACAUAUUCCAUCUUAUAAUGGUCUUUCCAUUUUUGUUUUCAGAACUGGUCCUAACCCUUUUAAUUUUAUGAGCUGGCAUUAUCUUUAGGGAAAGCCUUUCAAGAUGAGUGAGCCAGUUUGUUUGGAAAGAGAUGAAACCCAAUUUUCCUGCGCCUGUGAAUUAGGUGUGAAGAAAAUGCAGCCACUGAAUAUAAUGUUACUUAUAUUGUCAUAAAAACAUUUGCUGCUGUCAAUGAAUUCUGCAUGGAACAGGAAAGGGGAAAAAAAAGAUAUAUCACCCCAUCUGUUUUAGCUAUAUCAUCAGGCAACUGAAAUCUAUUCCCUAAUCCCUGGCCAGCACAGCCAAUUCUAGAGCUGGCUGUGAAUUAUGGCAUACAUCUAGAGGCCACCAAGUGAGGAAGAUGCCUGUCCAUGGAGAUGAUUCAUAGGAGAUUGAAAAUAUCUACACAUUCUCAGAAGCCUCUGAGUAAAGAACUGAAGGAAGAUACUCUGCAUUUGACAUCUGCCCACAUGCUGCAAGGAGCUAAGUUGACUGGCCAUUAUUACCUUCUGAUAUCAUGUAAGUGCG